ACGACCGUGACUGGAAGCAAAGCCUGUGGAUAAACACGCUGUGACCAGUUUAUUCAGACAGAACACUGCUCGGCAACUAAGAACCAAAACACAACACGGCCAUGAACUACAGAUGCACACAACACAGAAGAACGUCAAUGUCCUCAGACUGAGUGAGGAAAGCCACACCCCAGUUUCCACAGUGCCGUCAUCCUGUGGUCCACAGUGCACAGUGCCCAGUGCUGCAGGUUCGGGGUCACGUCAGGGCUGCUGUGCCCCAAGAGGAGCAGAGGGACAGAGUGGGGAGCACUGCUCGUGGCGCCCAUGCACUGGAAGGCCGAGGGCAGUGCUGUCCUCUUUCUUAAACCUCACUGGCCUGAAAGGCUCACAUCACGCAUUUGGCCAUAAGUAAACUUUACCUCAAUUCCGAAUCAACGCUGCAGGCAAAUAUGGGAAGCUGCGUGUGGGGGACACAGGUGCUUUAUUUCCUUUCCUGGAGUCCCGGCAGCAGGAGGGCUGCCUGACAGGAGUGUCCUGGCUCCUCACGUCUCCUGACCCAGAAAAGAACAUCUGCAGCUGCACUGUCCAGGGCGCCACAGCUGCCCACACAUCUGGCAGCUGGAUCUGCUUAUGCAACUUGGAUCUUGGAGUUCACAUUUGAAAUCUGCCUCAUCCAUCCUCCUCCAAGGCCUGCCCCCCAACCCCAGUUGCGUGAACUUACCCACCUGAGGACUCUGCUGAGGGCAGGGUGGAGUGGCUGGCGCCAGUGCAGACCCUGCUCAGCAGGAGGGGCCCUCAGUGCCCUGAAGACAGAGGCCUGGGAUGCCCGGGAUGGAGCACUUAGGCCUCUGCCUCCCACUGUGGGCACAAGAACCUCCCAGGGCCUCAGACUCAGGACCCCAUCUCCACAGGGACCCUGUGGAGGUGGGAGGGUAUGGGUGACAUUAGCCCUCGGUGGCUCCCCCAUCCCAGCAUCACUGGCCAGCUGGGACCAGCAACCUUUGGUGGCGGCUGCUGCACUGACCAGAGCUUGGUGUGCAUCAGCCCCAGACUGACGAAGUUACUCCCUCAGUUCUCCCAAGUACCUCAGCUCCAGGCAGGGAUGAGAUGGCCGAGGGAGCAGGGUCUCCCUGGCUAGUUGGGGUCAGCAGGGGGGCCAGGGGCUGGGGCCACUGCACAGGAAGACUCCUCCCACCCUGGACCCCGGGCACGUGCGACCUGAGAGGCAGGAGCAGCAUGUGCUAACCCCAUAUCUCACAAAGCACUCCAGGGCCGCCUGGUGCUGUCUUGUGGGGCCACCACUUCAGCCCUCAUGACUCUGGACAAGCCAGGUGGGUGGUAAGGCCCCUCCUUGGUCUGAGGCCCCUGGAGGGCAAGUCAGCCCCUGACCUGUCUAGAAGCCCCAGGGGUCCCCAACCCGGACAGCAGCUCGGGCUCCUUCUGCCCCUCCACCCAAGGUCCCAGGUUGCACCAAGGGGACCAUGGCCUAACCAUAGUGACAGUGACAACGACAGGAAAUCCUGCCUGCCGCUUGCCAGACCCCAAGGGGCUCCUGGGCUCUGAACAGCGGAGGUUUCAGAGAGAGAGCCCAGAGGGCCUGGACCCAAACACCAGUGCCUUUGGGGGUCUGGGGUCACUAGGCCUCUGGGAGGUGCUCACCACAGAGCCCCAGGGCCCUGGACCCCCCGGGGCUGCCUGCACCUGCGCCCUCUGAGCAGGGCUGUCCACAUGGCGCCUGCUCCAGGCUCCAACAACUAACAGCCUGAUGAGCAAAGCAGACCCACCUCGGCCUCUGCCUGGGGAGACUGGAGGUCUGCUCUCUCUGGGGGCUUGGGUGGGGUGCUCCAGCUGCUGGACCCCAGGGAAACAAGGAAAAGGGGCAGAAAGGGGACAAAGCUUCAUGCCUGUGGCAGGGCAAUCACCGGGCAUCUGCAAGGCUCAGGCGAGCAUGUGCUGUCUGCAGGCAGGAGAGCAAGUGGUCUGCUCUGGAGAAACUUUGAUGGGGCUUAGCCACGACACUGCCCUGUGGAUGAAGCAAGCACGUGCCAGCCCUGCCAGCCAGCCGCCCCUCCCCUGGCCGCUGCAGGACCAGAACCAGCACCCAAACUCCAGCUCCCUCAGAGGUAGUGUCUCUUUCCAAGGCUAGCUCACAGCAGGUACUUGGAAGAUGGUGGGCAAAUGGCCAGUGGCACGGCCCCGUGGAGCUGGGGGGCGGGGACAAGCAACCCAACCCUGCCGCAUCCUGUAGUUGCCCAGGCCACACCAGCUCCAUCCUUAGAUCAUGCCGGCCAGCCAGGGUGGCAGGAACAGGCCCACGGUUCCCAGCAGGCAGACAACGAUGAACAUCCAGAGGAAGAUGCGGUCGAUGACCAUGGCCACGUACUUCCAGUCCUCCUUCACCUGCGGACACAGACACUGCAUCACUUCAGCUCCUGGCCUAACAGGCAACCAGAGCACCUUCGGAACCUGGUGCUCCAGUGGCAGGUUCUGCUUCCCACCAGUGGAAGCACAGAUUUGGCUGUGGCGUUUCCAUGGGCUGGCACAUGUCCUUCCUCUGGCUGGUCUCCCUCAGCGACAGCCAUCACCACUGCUGAGGGCCAAGAGUUCCUCUUGUUAGGCAGUCAGCACUAAGCCCAGCUGUGGAUGGUACACACAACUCAUCAGACCUGCCUGUCAGGGAGAGCUGCCUGCCUGGGCACCUAGAUGUCCCCAUGGACCUGUGCUGACCUGCACUACUGACUGGAGGUGGGAUGCAGCUGCCUGUGGACCCUGUGACGCUGCAGGCUAGCUCUGCCUCAGGUACAUGAGAGCACACCUCUAAUCCCAGGACCCCUUCAACCAACCCCUGUCAUCAUGGCAUCCUAGGGGCAGCUCUCUGCCCCCAGAGUCAUUUUGUGUGCUCACCCAAGAGGGAGCAGCUUGUAGACUCCAGGCUUCUGCUUCAGUCCUGCCUGUGAAGACACUACAGAUGCCGUGGUGUGAGACCAAAGCGACUCCAUUUUGCUAAAAUCCACCAUUCCCCUAGCCUCUCAAAUUAAUGGUUAAAAUGUGUUUGCUCUGGAACAAAAGAUACAAUCUGUAACAAACCAAAGUUCCUAAGUUAAUUACUCAGCCAUCUGUUUACCCAGGAAAUGAACAUCCUGGGCCCACUAUCUGUAGGAACCCUCUGUCAAUGUGCUGACUGUUAGUGCUGGGUGGUCGUGACCAUUAGUCACCGUGUCUGCUGACCAUGAAUACGUGACAGUUGCCCACUAACCUUUGUCCUUUUCUUUUGUAAAACCUAUACGUAAUCACCCCUUACCCCUGAUGAGUUCACCCAAUCAGAAAUGUGCACUUCAUGCAUGUUAAGCACUGACCAAUCAUUGUAAUUGCUAAGUGGAAAAUCUCCAAACCUUGCUGUAACCUCUAUAAAAACCCUGCUAAUUUGGAACCCGGGGCUCUCAAUCUCGAUCCGCUGUGACAAUUGAGAGUCCCUGCUUAAGCUUGAAUAAACGACCCUCAUGUGCUUACAUCGGAAACGGCCUCCUGGUGGUCUUUGGGACCUUACAAUCUGGGCACAACAGUGGCGGGUCAUGGCCCACGUGCUGGCUGCAGUGCUCUGCGCUUCGCUGUCCUGACUGGCCAGUAUUAAUAGUGACCACUCAUUGGCUGCCAUGUUUCCAGGCCCCAUGCCAAGUGCAGCCUUCUGAGCCAGGAUGGCAUCACCACUGCUUACACUUGACAAAAGCAGGGUCUGAGGCUGACUCUAGGUCUCGGUCCACACCUGCUGAGGGGCCCGUGGGCCAUCCAAGGCUCUCAGCAGCCCAGCUCUGAAAACUUGUAAAUGGCACUUCUAUAGCUUUGUUUUUGAUCAUUAGCUGUUCAUUGAAAUAGAAAUACUGUAGAUUUUACAUAUAGAUCAGAUAACCUGGAACCUUACUAAGCUUAUUUACUAGUUUGAAGCACAUUUUAUGGAAUCUUUGAGAUUUCCUACAUGUGAAUAAGGAUAAUUGUAUUGCUUCCUUUCUCAUCCGUAUGCCUUUUUUCCCUUCUUUUUCUUACCUUAUUAUAUUGGCUGAAUUCUGGCAGUUGAUGUCUUUCAAAGAGUUGACUCAUUUCAUCUAAAUUGUCAAAUUUAUGUGCACAGUUGUUCAUCUUAUCCCCUUUGUCUCUCCUGUGGGAUUAACAGCAGUGAUCCCUUUCAUUCCUUAUAAUGCUAAUUCUCUUUUUCUCUUGGUCAAUCCAGAUAAUUUUAUUCAUCUUUUUCAAACCUUUGGUUUCAUUACUAUUCUUUAUUUUUUCUUUAAAACUGCAUUGAUUUCUACUUUUAGAUUUAUUAUCUCUAUCUUUCCAUUUGAUUUAGUUAUUUUACUGUUCUAGUUUCAUAAGACAAAAGCUUAUAUUAUUUUUUGAGACCUCUGUUUUUGGUGCUGGGGAUUGAAUUUACAAACUUGCGCUUGCGAAGCAGGUGUAACACCACUGAGCUAAAUCCACAGCCCGAGACCUCUCUUUUUUAAAUACAAGCAUUUAAUGCUAAAAUUUCCCCCUGCAUACUGCUUUAACUUCAUAUACUGAGCUGGUUCUUUUGUUUGUUUGUUUUUGGUAACAGCGAUUGAACUCGGGUCCUUGCCCUUGCAAGGCAGGCAGUGGAACCACUGAGCUAAACCUCCAGCCCCAUAUACUGAGUUUUAAUAUGUUG
rnacentral:lncRNA from 1 species